CAAUUAAUGGUAAUCAUCUUUAGGAACUGGACUGAAAGGAAGAGAAUACACUUUGCUGAUCAGUG